AUAACCUGAAAUACCUCUUUCAAAAUGUAACUUGUAACUGACCAGUGUCCCCAGAAAUGAUUUAUCUUAGUACAUCUCAGGAAGUGCUGUUUCCUGUGACUCCGUGUCCAGGAUGGCAGUCAGCCCACAGCCUGAGGUGAGACUUCACUUUCAGGAUCUUUGGCAGGGAGCAGAGUCACUCAGCUUGCUUCUCCACUGCCCACUCUGCCAAGUACUUUGAGAAGAGGUUUCAAGCUCUCCGAGAACAAGGAUUGGGUCUGUUUGUUCACUGCUCUGUCCCCAAGGCUCAAUACUCUUUCAAGCACAAUGUGGCAUUGACAAAGGACAGUAAUUCAUUGUGUCUUCGCAGAAGCAAAUUCAUAAGUGUGUUUGAAAUGCUGGUGACUGCAUUCAUGUAUUCCGAUUUUAAUUCUGGCAGAAAAACUAUCACCAACAAAGGUUAUAUUUUCUAGCCACCAUUGAUUGGCACUUUUCUCAUCACAUGCCAGCCUUCUUCCUACAUGCUGAAUUUCCUGACCGAAGUAUUGUGUGUAGGCAAUUUCUUUCCUCUGAAGUGUUCUAAAUAGUACCCAUUUAUUAGAAAUAAAUAAAACACACAGUCA